rnacentral:snoRNA from 1 species
CCCUUUUUAAAAGCACUCAGUGGGCCUGUGGCUAAUGACCUGUUGAGCCGUCAAGAAAGGGAAGAAUGAAAACACCGCUUUUGGGUGAAGCGGCAGCAUGAUGUGUUGUUUUGCUUCAAUCAGUGGUGUGACAAGG